rnacentral:rRNA from 1 species
GUGGAUUAGAUACCCUGGUAGUCCACGCCCUAAACGAUGCUGACUAGUUGUUGGGAAUUUACAUUCUCAGUAACGUAGCUAACGCGUGAAGUCAGCCGCCUGGGGAGUACGGUCGCAAGAUUAAAACUCAAAGGAAUUGACGGGGACCCGCACAAGCGGUGGAUGAUGUGGAUUAAUUCGAUGCAACGCGAAAAACCUUACCUACCCUUGACAUGUCACUAACGAAGUAGAGAUACAUUAGGUGCCCGUAAGGGAAAGUGAACACAGGUGCUGCACGGCCGUCGUCAACU